rnacentral:rRNA from 1 species
UAACCUGCCCUUGACUCUGGGAUAAGCCUGGGAAACUGGGUCUAAUACCGGAUAUGACCUUCCAUCGCAUGGUGGUUGGUGGAAAGCUUUUGUGGUUUUGGAUGGACUCGCGGCCUAUCAGCUUGUUGGUGGGGUAAUGGCCUACCAAGGCGACGACGGGUAGCCGGCCUGAGAGGGUGACCGGCCACACUGGGACUGAGACACGGCCCAGACUCCUACGGGAGGCAGCAGUGGGGAAUAUUGCACAAUGGGCGCAAGCCUGAUGCAGCGACGCCGCGUGAGGGAUGACGGCCUUCGGGUUGUAAACCUCUUUCAGUAGGGAAGAAGCGUAAGUGACGGUACCUGCAGAAGAAGCGCCGGCUAACUACGUGCCAGCAGCCGCGGUAAUACGUAGGGCGCAAGCGUUAUCCGGAAUUAUUGGGCGUAAAGAGCUCGUAGGCGGUUUGUCGCGUCUGCCGUGAAAGUCCGGGGCUCAACUCCGGAUCUGCGGUGGGUACGGGCAGACUAGAGUGAUGUAGGGGAGACUGGAAUUCCUGGUGUAGCGGUGAAAUGCGCAGAUAUCAGGAGGAACACCGAUGGCGAAGGCAGGUCUCUGGGCAUUAACUGACGCUGAGGAGCGAAAGCAUGGGGAGCGAACAGGAUUAGAUACCCUGGUAGUCCAUGCCGUAAACGUUGGGCACUA